GGACAAGAUACUUUCAAAUCAGAAAGGUUUUGGUUUGUCUGUUCUGUAUGCUUGCCGGACACAGAUCAAGGAAGCAAGCAAUCCAACUCCAUUAGAAUUAAUACCUGAAGCUGCAAGUAACCCAUUACCCGCUCCAUGUGAUGUCCCAGCAUGCAGUGCACCAGCAACAUCACAUUCACCAUUAAAUAUGCCUGUAUCAUAGGACCAGCAGAGGUGCUCAGUUCACACCACAGUGCAUUGAAAUGUGAUGCAUGAUGUGAUCUCCAAGUAUCCUCCAGACACCCAUAACAUGAAUUGAAACUCAGGUGUCCAAAAGCAAAGAAGACGGCAUAGUAGUAACCAGUAGUUCCACUGUAAUGUUUCCCUUCUUCACAUACUAAUGAGAAAUAAUUAGAGAAAACAACAAAUUGGGAGUAAUCUCUUUUGCUUGUCUGUUUACUUUACAUCACAUUGUCUUCAAAUAAUAUUUGGAAACUUAAGUCUCCAUUAUACAACAAAAAAACCAUUUGACAUUUAUAAGUGUAUUUCUGACUCCAGAAUAUAUUAAAACAGUAACAUGCCAACACAGGGAAGUCUUCAAGCCCUCCAAAGUUGGCAUCUUAAUGAGCACUGCAGCUCAGUGCAAUUUGAUACACCUCACUGCAUGCACUGAAAGUGCUUCUGGAAGUUAAUGAAAACAUACAGGAAUGAAAAAGUAAAUUUUCCUCCAUAGUUUGUAUGUUUUACUCCCUCCCCUCCCAAUGCUGCUUAAGAGAAAAUAUUAAUUAGAAAAAAUUGAGACUGUGUGAUUGAUAAUAAAAGAGAGAAAAUUCAGAACAAAGGCUUACAGAAACACUGCACACAGCCAUUACAAUACUCAAAAUAUCAUCCAGUAUUUCUGGACACCUGUAAAACGUAGGUACAAUGGGAUGUAUUUGUUAGCAGAGAGGCUUCAUGAUUUAGUGAGCUAAGCAAAGGCCUGGUAGUCAAGAACUACUGAGUUCUAAUUCUGGGUUUGAGGGUGACUUGCUUUGUAACCUUGGGGAAAUAAUGACCGCAAUUCCAGUCUCCCUAUCUGUAAAAUGGGGGUGGAUAAUACUUUCUUACCUUCCUCAGAGACCUGUUGUGAGGAUUAAGUAGGUGUUUGUAAAGCACUUUGAAGAUGUUAAGUGCUGAGUAAAAAAUACCAGCUUUCACAUUACAGAAAAUACCUUAAAGACAAUAUUAAUGGGUCAGACAAACUGAGAAAGGGGAAAUUCACAGUUAAAGGGGCUUACAGCAUUCACCCUAGUUUUCUAUUUGAUGAGUGAUAGCUGCAUGAAAUACAGCAAGUGUGCCCCCAAAGAAAAGCAAGCAAUUUUAACAUGAUCUACUGCUGUAAUAACCUUUUUUAUUAUUAAAACUAGCUUUAUGUGGAGAUGAAAUAAAAGAACCACAUAUUUGAUUUUCUUGCAUCACAAACACAUAACUAAAUGACCACUCAGGAUUUCCAGUAUGUGGCAGUUUGUCUCUCUCAGCAAUAAGAUUUUUUUUUAAAGCAGAUAUAUGCAAAUAUUUCUGCUAAGUUCUAAUUUUUUCUGAACAACAAAUGUGUGAAUGUCUCAAUCUUUCAAGCCAACUUUCCCUCAUGACUGACAUUGCCUCGUCUUUAUGUUCUAGACACUGUUUUCCCCUUCCCCCACUCUCUUAGAGCAGUAUUUACAGAGGACAUUGAUUCUCUCUCUGCAGAUAGAAUAGUUGUUUCGCUAGAGCUGCUUAUAGCAGUGUGUGCCUCUCAGUAAUAAGACAUCCAAUUAUUUUUGGCCCUGUGAAGUAUUACCCUUCAACUUGCAAUGCCAAAAAUUGGGAACUUCACUCCUAAAUAAAUUAUUUUGUAUUUGAACUUUUACUGGCAACACUGAUUCUAACUAGCUACUUCAAACUGCAGUAGUUUAACUGCUAGGAACUGCUGACAAGCUAACAUUAUCACUCCCCUAAACAAGAAAAUCUGUUUUAACACCAAAUACAUUUUCAUUCCAAUAUUUCAUAGCACCAUUAAUUAACUAUAAAGAAACAAAGUUGUGCCAGAGUUUGAAAAUAAAUGGGAGAGAAAAUAAUAAAGAUGUAAUAGUACUGGCAGGAGAGAUUUUUAAAAGCGAUAUGAACAAUCUUUAAUCUUUUAUCUAUAGAUUUCCUGUAUGAGACUUUCUGAAAGGCAAAUAACUCUGCGUCGUCCCUGCUAAAAUCUCUCAAAAUAAAAAGAAUUAACUGAAGCUUACCUG